UGAAUUAUUAUUUACCCAACUCUGUUGCUGAUAUAUGACUUUCUCCACUAUUUCAGCAAUAUAAUCAAGUUUUAUAGAAACCUGAACUGCCCAGGAACUGGUGACUCAAGGUAAUUCAAUGACUGUAUUUCAUCACUACAUCCAGAAAGUAAAGUGCAACCAAUAGUCAAGUUCAGCCCUGAUGGUAUCAGGAAGUCUGAGUUAAGCUGUAACAUGCUAUUUCACCUUGACUGAAUCUUCAUCAUCUUAUCUUUAUCUAACAGGUCCACCACCGACAGAAGAAGUUAAGACUGAGAAGGAGUGGUUCCAUGUGUGAAACAAGCUUUGCAUUGCUGAAUUUAUAAUAACAGAAAACAUUCGGUUUUCUGUUCUAUUUACAGAGUAGUGUCUCAGGGAGGAAGAAAUACAGUGCCCCAUUUUGGGAUGUCUGUUUUCCUGCCUAUCACUGGCACAUUGCAGUUUCUUUUGAAGAUGCAGCACAUCCCAGGAGCAGUUCUCUGUACUAGCACCAUUUCAGGCUACUCAAUACCACAGAUAAAGGAAGUUUCAGCUAAACUCUCUCAGCAAAUCAUCAAAUGGAGCCUGUCUCUGAGACUUAACUUGAUCUAUGUCAAGGCAUCAGGACGUGGAGGAAGCCCUCGGAUAUGCAGCUGGGAAGAGGAGAGGCUUUCAAGUGUUCAGAGGAGAUAGUGGGACCAAGCAUCCUGCUCUGAAGGUGCGGUCCUCACCAAACCUAUGAGGGG
rnacentral:lncRNA from 1 species